ensembl:miRNA mir-230 miscRNA
GUAUUAGUUGUGCGACCAGGAGA